CAGGGUCCUAAUACUUUCCUCCUCACACCAGCCAUGCCCUGCCUUCACCUGCCCUCCAGUUCAUCUUGGCAGCCCGGGCUGCAUGGCCCAGGAGAUUCUGGGCAUCCUACCUGUCACCACGGGUGCCCACCAUGAAUUGGGUACCACCUUGGACAAGAUGAGAAACCAGGCUGUUGAGGAAUGAUGCAGCCUAAGGAAGAUGUGUUUUGAGAGAGGUUUCUCUCAAAUCCCGGUGCUGCACUCACUCGGCGAAGUGGCUCUCAGGGACCCCACCCGAUCUCGUUGUUUGACCUGCUACCCACAUACAGGCGCACGGUGGGCAUCCAGCACCUCUAGCCCGGCUCUCUCCCCCACUUUACAUUCA